rnacentral:rRNA from 1 species
AGUGAACGCUGGCGGUAGGCCUAACACAUGCGAGUCGAACGGCAGCACAGUAAGAGCUUGCUCUUACGGGUGGCGAGUGGCGGACGGGUGAGGAAUACAUCGGAAUCUACUUUUUCGUGGGGGAUAACGUAGGGAAACUUACGCUAAUACCGCAUACGACCUACGGGUGAAAGCAGGGGAUCUUCGGACCUUGCGCGAUUGAAUGAGCCGAUGUCGGAUUAGCUAGUUGGCGGGGUAAAGGCCCACCAAGGCGACGAUCCGUAGCUGGUCUGAGAGGAUGAUCAGCCACACUGGAACUGAGACACGGUCCAGACUCCUACGGGAGGCAGCAGUGGGGAAUAUUGGACAAUGGGCGCAAGCCUGAUCCAGCCAUACCGCGUGGGUGAAGAAGGCCUUCGGGUUGUAAAGCCCUUUUGUUGGGAAAGAAAAGCAGCAGGAUAAUACCCCGCUGUUCUGACGGUACCCAAAGAAUAAGCACCGGCUAACUUCGUG